UACGGAGGGGGCUAGCGUUGUUCGGAAUUACUGGGCGUAAAGCGCACGUAGGCGGCUUUGUAAGUUAGAGGUGAAAGCCCGGGGCUCAACUCCGGAAUUGCCUUUAAGACUGCAUCGCUAGAAUUGUGGAGAGGUAAGUGGAAUUCCGAGUGUAGAGGUGAAAUUCGUAGAUAUGCGGCGGAACACCGAUGGCGAAGGCAGGUCUCUGGGCUGACACUGACGCUCAUGCACGAAAGCGUGGGGAGCAAACAGG
rnacentral:rRNA from 1 species